rnacentral:siRNA from 1 species
UGUGUGCUUGUUGAUUUCUUU